GCAUCAUUCAAAUUUCUGCCCUAUCAACUUUCGAUGGUAGGAUAGUGGCCUACUAUGGUGGUGACGGGUGACGGGUGACGGAGAAUUAGGGUUCGAUUCCGGAGAGGGAACCUGAGAAACAGCUACCACAUCCAAGGAAGGCAGCAGGCGUGCAAAUUACCCAAUCCUAACACGGGGAGGUAGUGACAAUAAAUAACAAUACCGGGCUCUAUGAGUAUGGUAAUUGGAAUGAGUACAAUCUAAAUCCCUUAACGAGGAUCCAUUAGAUGGCAAGUCUGGUGCCAGCAGCCGCGGUAAUUCCAGCUCCAAUAGCAUAUGUUUAAGUUGUUGCAGUUAAAAAGUUCGUAGUUGGACUUAGGGGUGGGUCGGUCGGUCCGCCUCACGGUGAGCACCGGUCUGCUCGUCCCUACUGCCGGCGAUGC
rnacentral:ncRNA from 1 species